GCAAGGGGCUAAAAGGAGGGGGGUCCAGUGCCAGCCAUUUAAAAAUGUCCUGGUGGCAGUGAGGGGUACCAGAGUCCCAGUCUAGUUAGUUGGGAAGCAGUGACAUCCCCCCAAAGCCCCCAGUUGGGCUGGCCCCCACCUCAGGCCACAAGAAGCCACACCUGGACCAGACACAGGAGAGGAAAGGACACAGUGGAGCAGGAACCGUCCCUACCACCCUGAUGCUGAAGGAACAAGCGCGCCAAGGCAGGGCCUCCUGAGGGUCAGAGAAGGGCAGACACCGGGCCUGGAAGUGCAGCUCCUCCCCAGAGCUUCCCGGCAGAAGACAGCGGUUCCCCCAGGCUGGGAUACAUUUUCUGAAGACUGUGGGGAGCAGAGAGCAGAAAAGGGCUCAUCCUCUGGGAGCAACCCCCCAGCCUGCCCACAGCUGACACCAGGUAAGAUGCUGAGGUCACCUAUUCAGCUGCCUCCUUUGACAGAAAGGGAAACAGAACUGCAGGCAGGAAAUGCACCUGUGAUAAAUGACUGAGCCAGUCAGUGAUAGAACCUGAGUGUCCCAAGUGGCCCCUGCCUCCUGACUAGGGACCCAGAGUGAGAGGGGGCCUCUUGUGGGGUAAGCGAAGUAGGAGAGCUACCGAGGUCCUUCUCAGCGAGGUCUCAUUUGAAGGAGACAGGGGUCAGGGCCAGUGCUGUCUGCCUGCCAGGCAUGUACACAAGCCUCAAGGGAAGAGUUCCAGGGACUAGGGAGCCAGGUCCUUCUAGCCCACCACACCACCUCCUCCUCCAGGAAGCCCUCCCAGUUUUCCCCAGGGGCAAGAACCUCUCUGUCCUCUAAGCUCUCUCAUGCCACCCAGGUCUGUCCCCUGUUUGCCUCGCUUGGGGCAUUGUCCUUCCACUUCAGGCUGAAUGCACUCCUCCAGGGCAAGGAUCCCAUCGAGUUUAUUCUCAUCUUGUCCUUGGCAUGUAGAUGACAAACUCAGUUUGCGGAAUGAACAGGUGCAAGGGUUAGACCCCAAAUGCAAAGGAUUGGAAACUGGUCAGGGAAGAAGAUGUUGAGCUUAGAGUUAUAAAUGGGGGCCCUGGGGCUGGCUGUCCUGAGUUAGGUGUCCCAGCUUGGCUCCCAGCUCCCUGCCCUCAGAACAUUCCCUUCCCAUGGAGCCUUGGGGACGGACAGAGAUCAGCACAAUUAAAACACUCAAUAAAUGACUGUUCUGAGUGCGGCUGCACCAGAAUGGUUUUCCUAGAUACAAAGGAACAGAACAGGCAGCCUGUAGCCACAGAGGAAAUGGAGGUGAACCCCUCCCCUGAUCAGAGGCUGUGCCUCAAGCCCUGUCCCUGCGUCAGAGUGACUCCGCAGGACCGUGGGACUACCCGUCUACUUCCUGUUCCUACACCCAGGAGAGCUGCUACUCCUGCUGCGAUAUUCUGAGUCCAGUGGGACCGUGGGACGUGCUGGAAAUAGCCCUCAGCACUCCCCCUCACUCCGUUCCCGCUGGGCUGUCCCCUCCCCUUCCUGGACCUCCUCGCAGAGGCCAGGAGCGCACCUUACCAGCCUGACACCUCGGCCGUUCUGCAGAUCGCACAGGCCGGGCAGGGCUCCCCAGGCUGCAGUCGCUCACAUGCCCUUCUUUAAAUCUUUUGCCAGAUCUGCAGGCAAUCGUAUUUUAAAAUUUAAGAUGAAUAAUGUUUAUACCUCACUAUAGAGAGUUAUGUAGAGGGGAACUGGAAAACAGACCCUAAUCAGGAGAGAAAAAAGAACUCAGGUAGCGGGAUGAAACAGAGUUACUUCACUUGCCCUGGGGUGGUGGCUGGCCAGGCCCUGGGCCUGCGGCUGAUGAGCAGGAGCCAGAAAAGUGUCAGAGACGAGCGAGCACCCAGCUGAGGCUUUGUCCGCACUGGGAGACAGGACUGUGAGCGAAUGGACAGACCUGAGUCACUGUCUUCCAAAGUUAGGUAGUGCCGAGGCCACGGAUGCUCCGCCAAACCGCUCGCUCCCUGCAAUGCACCCGGGAAGUAGAAGGUGGUUUUGAUGAAAGGGCUUUGGGGAAAAAUUGAGCAGAAGGCAGGGGCUGACCUUAUCGGCCUGGUUCCCGGGAACAGAUGAUCACUGUUCUGGAGCAACCCUUCCUGACUCCUCACUGAAACCUCCACAUGGGUCAGGCAAGCAUUUUCUCCCCCAGGGCUGGUCGGGGCGUCUGAGAGAGGAGCGCGUGGGCUACCAGGCCUCCCAAGGCUCAUCCUGACGUUGGAAUCCCUCCCCAGCCAAACGCAGUCCGGAAGGAGUUCCCACAGGAAGAGUCCCAUACUAGAGGCAGGCAGAACUUGGCCUCACGAAGGGGCUGCCGCCUCAGGGGGCCUGGGGGACUGACCUACCCCUAGUGGUACAGCAGGGGAAACACUCUUCAGGUCGGGCCUGACUCAGACUCCUGCUAGAAGCAUCGGACACACUUUACGUUUUAAGGUUGUGUUCUUCUCGCUCCCUCCCGGCCCUGAGGAAGGGUCGUCCACCCACUUUCCCCCUUUAGACGUCCCUGAAAAUGCACGUCAUCGGACAUGGAGGCCACCACCGUGGGCAACCAGAAAAGCAGGAGGGUGCUCUUGGGGUGUCCUGUGAUCAUGGGGGGCGGGCAGGAGGAACGCAGAGAGGCUCUGCUAGCCCGGUCUGAUGCUCUCCCCCAGCCAGAUCUGAAGAGGAAAGGGGACCGCCUACAGGGACAUCAAUCGUUCACCAAAUGGCAUUCAUUCCCUGGGCCUGUCAGCAUGUACAAAGGCCUCAGCAAGGCCCAGGGACAACCCCAAGUUAAUGAGAUGUGGGUGCUGUCCUCAGGGAACUGGAGGUGCAGCCCCAUCGGAGCCAUGUGCAAACAGCCUGGGCACUAGCAAGAGAGGAAAGCCACCCAGCCAUCCAACAACGCUCUGGGGGUCCGCGCUGCCUGGACCUGCUUUUGGUGGGAGUGCCGUCGACAAGGCCCCUUCCCUCGAGGGCGGGCCAUGUGGCCCACGAGUGGAAGUGGGAUUGAACAAAGCAACUGUGGUAAAGAAUUAGAAAAAGGGCACAGGAUGUUUGAGGACAUGACCGGGGUAUGCUGACGUCCCAGAAGGUCGGGAAGCAACCCAGAGGAAGGGGCCAUCGAGCAGACACUAAACCCACAGAGAGGAGAGGGCCAGGGGAGCGGCGUGGCCCCUGGGAGCCAGAGGUGGUGAGUGCGGGCCUCCCUGGAGGAGUGUCCAAGAGGAAGAAGGCGGCUGUGGCCAGGUGGGGCAGGCACCCUGGCCUUUGGUGAGGGUUUCAGAAUCAAGCCCGAGGGCAGCGGGAGUGCUUUCAGGAAUUAAGGAGGGGAGCAAUAGGACCCUAUUUGCAUGUUGAGAAAUUACUCCGGGGGUUGUCAAGGAAGGAUGGGUGGGAAAUCUGGGGGUUCAGGGUCGUAGAGGCAGGAAGACUGGGUAGGAGGCCACAGCAGAUGAUCAAUCGUAUCAAAUAUCAAAUUCCAUGACUGCUGCUUGGCUGGGAUACACAGAGCAUGAAGGAGGCACGUGGGGUCAACCUAUUGGAAGACUCCAUUUAUUGAAACGUCUAGAACAGAACAGGCAGCUCUAGAGAGAAAGAAUGUGGCCUGCCCAGAGCUGGGCUGAUGGGGAUGGGAAGGGCGAAAUAGUAAGAGGUUUCUUUUUGGAGGGAGGAAAUAUUUUAAAAUCGGCAGUGGCGAUGGUUGCUCAACUUUGUGAAGGUAUUAAAACCUCAUUUCAUUGUGCACUUUAAAGGGGUGAGGGGAUCUUCUUGCCAUAAAGCUCUCUGAAGAAUAAAACAGAAGGCACGUUGAGGCUUGGUCCCAGAGGGCGCUAAAGCCUGGCCAAGGGUGGGGCACACAGGCCGGGCAGGCGGUGGGGCCGAGGCCCCUCUGCCGCCCCUCCCUGGCCGAGGCCGGACUCCCCGCUGCAGCCCGGCGCCCUGUCCCCAGCCUGAGGUGCAGUGCUGCAUCUCUGGUCAGUUGGGAGUCUGAGAUGAAGCACUGUAGCUCGGGAAGGGAGAAGCUGUUCUGCCACCUCACUCCUGGAAGCGGGAAGAGGUGGUGCUGGGGGCACCAGGAAGGACGGACGUUUCCACUCUCCAUAGUGCCAGCUGCUUGUGCGGAGGAAGCUUCCGGACUCACACCCUACCCAUGCCACCACCUGCUUCGCGAUUCUGGGCAAGUCCCAAGUCUCCCAGGCACUUUGGCCUGUCUGCCUGUAAGACAAGGUGUUGGAGCCUUCAGGGGGGCCUGGCAGGCACCCUGCCUCCACCCCCGGCAGACACUGCUCAUCUGCUCAGGUGUCCAUCCUUUAGGCGCUUAGACGCAGCUUCAGAAUCCUUCUGAGCACUAAGUCCUAUGAAUGACUCAGCACUGAAACCCACUCCUCAUUUGUGGAUUGCACCAAAUCUUUCAAUCCCCCAAAUAAAAGUCCUGGGCUUUGGGUCCGGCUCUUCACGCCUAGAGCUCCUACCUGGCUCCAGGCCAUGGCCUAACCCAGUCCAGUUGUCUCACAUGUCUGAUGUCUCUUAGGGGCUUCAGACAAGCAAGAAACAGCCGAGGAUAAUCCCUGGGCUAAGCACAGUUUUAUGUGACCUCCCAGUAAGCUUGGGAGGUGGCAAUGUUAUUGACCCAUUUACUAAUGAGAAAACUGAGCUCAGUUAAGUAACUCACCCAAGGUCACACACAUUGUGUUGAGUCAAGGUUGUAGCCUAAUCUCCCUGCUUUCAGAUCUGUAUCCUUUGCCCACUACUAGGGACAGGGGACCAGCUGGUGAACAUAAUAAAUCCUGCUCUGCUCUUGCCCUUACAUAUUGGGUCACUUUUAGCGAAGGCAGACCCGGAGACUUUCCCUCAAUCCUAUUGUCUGCCUUCUUCCUCCCUCCCCUCCCCCCUACCGCCCCAAAUUCUAUGUAUCUCAUGGGGUCCAGUAGCUCCCGCUCUAUCCCAUUCCACGACUGAAGAAAGCUGAGGUUAAAUGCCUUGCGGCUGCAGGUCACCAGCAAGGAAGCUGUCCAACAGAGACCAGGCCCCGAUGGGCUCCACUGGUGUAGAGUGAAACCCUCCCUGUGGCUGGAGACUCAGGAAUGUGCACAACUCACGGCUGUCCCGGGGAAGGGGCUGGGUUGCAGCCGGUUGCUGCUCCGGGAGGUAGCCUUUGACCACCAGGAAAGUACCCGCCAGGGCACUUGAAGUUCCAGUCGCUACGCCCCCUGGAGCCACAUCCUGCGAUCCGCGCGCGCAUCCGUGGCUCCUGCAGACAGGCUGCACUGCACGCAGAAGAAAAUUCCAGCUGGCCCGCAGGGACGUGCCCGGACCCUGGUGCUGAAGGCCUCGCUCUCACCUUGUCCUCACGGUCCAGUUUUCCCAGGAAUCCCUUAGAUGCUAAGAUGGGGAUUCCUGGAAAUACUGUUCUUGAGGUCAUGGUUUCACAGCUGGAUCCACCGCCUCCCACCCCGGAGCUGUCCCCGCGGGGCUCGGCGCAAGCACCGCGCUCGGGUCAAGUGGGCCGCUGUGCGCUGGAGGUAAGAGGGCUUGGGGACUGAGUUGACCUUUAAGUUGCUUUUCUUUCCAUUUUGUCCAUUUCGUAACAUCCCUGGGAAGCUGGAUGUGGGAGUUUCACCAAGGUCGCCCUCGUGGGAAAUUAGUCCCGGCACUUGGCUGAGCCGGGGCUGGACCACGACACCAGGAAGCACCCGGUUCUUCCAUCUCCACCGACUCUCGCCACGCUUCCCAGCAGGCCACAUGGUAGGGGCCACAGCAUCCUAUCUACGUGAUUGAUAAACUCACAAAUGCACACAAAUGUAUUGUAAAGUUUAUGCAAUCAGUUAAGUAAACUGAAAACUCUAACUCUUACUUCAGUUUGGAAUGCAGGCACAGAAAAAUGAAAAUUUGUUUCAAGGUAGAGUAGACGAAGCUCAGAGCACCCCCUUGAGGGGAUGCCUGCCUCAACCCACUCCCGGGACACGGGCUCUCCACACCCUCAGCCCUGCACACCUGCGUGCACACGCACACGUGCACGUGCACACGUGCAGACUGAGACUCCUCCCUCUGCCCCAACCACCUCUGAGCCAGUGGAAGCUUUAGCACCGUCCAUCAUCUCAUUACCAGCGGUGCCUCCACUCACAGUUCUCUUUACUUCCACACCCUGGCUUCUCUUCAAAGCUCCCUGAAGGUCAGGGUCAUUGAUGAGACUCAGAGAGGUGGAGUGACUGGCCCAAAGUCGCCCCGAUAGCAACAGGGAGAGCCAGGAUUCAUUCCAAGUGCAGUAGCCUAUAGCAAUGCCUUCCCCAAAAGCAAAAGCUACAAGACUGAAAAAGAAGACUUUCUGGACAGACCUAGGGUGUGCUAAUGACUGAAUGCUGAAGACUGAGAGUGGUCCAGGUGCCGAACCAGAACUUUCUGCAAACUCUUCCUGGUCUUGUCAUGCGGUUGAUAGAGACAGUCGGUGCCAGGGCCCCAGAAUACUCACUUCGGGGCACGGUCCCCAAAUUCCCAGGUGUCUCCCACACGUGUCUCAGACUGUCUUCUUAACAGACCUCAUACACAGAGCCUGGAGCUAGCCUGACCAUGAAGAGAUGUGACUUGGUCCUAAUAAUGACAAUAAAUAAUGACCAUAAUAAUAAUAGCUUCCGCUCACUGACCGCUUACACUUUCCCGGACAGUGUGCUGAACUAACUCUCAAGCUGAAAUCAAAUCACGUCUGUGUUGACACUUUUCAGCUGUCCCGGCCCCGCCCCUCCCACCGACCUGGGGGGCAGGGCUGCCUCUCCAUGACUUUCUCUGGGGGAAAGGGUCAAAUAUGCAGUGUCUCCUGUGUUCUGUGACUACAAUAAAGUGCCGGACCCUCGA